CCUACGGGUGGCAGCAGUAGGGAAUAUUGCUCAAUGGGGGAAACCCUGAAGCAGCAACGCCGCGUGGAGGAUGAAGGUUUUCGGAUUGUAAACCUCUGUGGAGUGGGACGAUAAUGACGGUACCCCUUUAGGAAGCCACGGCUAACUACGUGCCAGCAGCCGCGGUAAUACGUAGGUGGCGGGCGUUGUCCGGAAUUACGGGGUGUAAAGGGAGUGUAGGCGGGAAAGCAAGUCAGAAGUGAAAACUAUGGGCUUAACCCAUAGCCUGCUUUUGAAACUGUUUUUCUUGAGUGAAGUAGAGGCAAGCGGAAUUCGUAGUGUAGCGGUGAAAUGCGUAGAUAUUAGGAGGAACACCAGUGGCGAAGGCGGCUUGCUGGGCUUUUACUGACGCUGAGGCUCGAAAGCGUGGGGAGCAAACAGGAUUAGAUACCCCAGUAGUC
rnacentral:rRNA from 1 species